rnacentral:rRNA from 1 species
GUGCAGCAGUCGCGAAAACUCCGCAAUACGCGAAAGCGUGACGGGGCUACCCCGAGUGUCGUCCGCUGAGGACGACUUUUCCACGCUGUAAGGAGGCGUGGGAAUAAGGAGAGGGCAAGUCUGGUGUCAGCCGCCGCGGUAAUACCAGCUCUCCGAGUGGUAGGGACGAUUAUUGGGCUUAAAGCGUCCGUAGCCGGCUCAGCAAGUCUCCCGCUAAAUCCAGCGAUUCAAUCGUUGGCUUGCAGGGGAUACUGUUCGGCUUGGAGGCGGGAGAGGCCGACGGUAUUCUCGGGGUAGGGGUGAAAUCCUAUAAUCCCGGGAAGACCACCAGUGGCGAAGGCUGUCGGCUAGAACGCGCUCGACGGUGAGGGAUGAAAGCUGGGGGAGCGAACCGGAUUAGAUACCCGCGUAGUCC